GGAAUAUUGCACAAUGGGCGAAAGCCUGAUGCAGCAACGCCGCGUGGGGGAUGACGGCCUUCGGGUUGUAAACCUCUUUUAGUAGGGAAGAAGGGCUUCGGCUUGACGGUACCUGCAGAAAAAGCACCGGCUAACUACGUGCCAGCAGCCGCGGUAAUACGUAGGGUGCAAGCGUUGUCCGGAAUUAUUGGGCGUAAAGAGCUCGUAGGCGGUUUGUCGCGUCUGCUGUGAAAACCCGAGGCUCAACCUCGGGCCUGCAGUGGGUACGGGCAGACUAGAGUGCGGUAGGGGAGAAUGGAAUUCCUGGUGUAGCGGUGGAAUGCGCAGAUAUCAGGAGGAACACCGAUGGCGAAGGCAGUUCUCUGGGCCGUUACUGACGCUGAGGAGCGAAAGCGUGGGGAGCGAACA
rnacentral:rRNA from 1 species